CAAGCCCGCGGAAGAGGUAAUACGACCUCUCUCGUUUUUGGAAGAGGAAACUGAGGCUUAGCAAGUUGACGUAACCCGCCCAACGUCAUGCAGUCAGGAAGGGCAGUUUCCACCGCUGGUCCCUGAUUCCAGCAUAUUGCAGGAUUGGACAAGCUCUUGAAGGUGAAGACGCCACAAACAUCGUGAGUCCAGAGAACGGGCAGCAAAGCUCAGCGGGCUGGUUCAUUCAUGUACAUUCAGCUCCACAGCCUCUUGAAAAAUGAUAGGCCCAAGAAGGAUUAACUGAGGGGGAAGACUCUCUGUCAGAGUCUCAGCUUGUAUCUGCAGGAUCCAAGGAAAAUCAGUGCUUUUUGUCUGGCUGCCAUUGCUACUUGCUGGUGAGUACAUUGGCCCUGUUGCCGCCGUCCUGAAUAGACAUCAGAACCCAGAUUCUGCAGCCUUCCAACACAGGAGGCCAGUGGCUCUGAAGGAAUCUACCAGGCCUUCAGUGCCAAAUUAGCACUAUCGAAACAUCCAGCUUCAGGGACUGAACAGCUACUGGGUUCUUGGAUUCCCCAGCCUGCAGACAGCCGUUGUUGAACUACCCAGCUCAUAUAAUGUAAGUCAAGGUAAUAAAUCACUUUUAUAGUA